GUUAUAUGGUCAAGUGAAGAAGCGCAUACGGUGGAUGCCUUGGCAGUCAGAGGCGAUGAAAGACGUGGUAGCCUGCGAAAAGCUUCGGGGAGUCGGCAAACAGACUGUGAUCCGGAGAUGUCUGAAUGGGGGAACCCAGC
rnacentral:rRNA from 1 species